GACGAACGCUGGCGGCGUGCUUAACACAUGCAAGUCGAGCGGUAAGGCCCUUUCGGGGUACGACGAGCGGCGAACGGGUGAGUAACACGUGGGUGACCUGCCCUCAGCUCUGGGAUAAGCCUGGGAAACCGGGUCUAAUACCGGAUAUGACUCCAUGACGCAUGUUGUGGGGUGGAAAGCCUUGUGCGGCUGAGGAUGGGCCCGCGGCCUAUCAGCUUGUUGGUGGGGUAAGAGCCACCAAGGCGACGAUCCAUAGCUGGUCUGAGAGGACGACCAGCCACACCGGGACUGAGACACGGCCCGGACUCUACGGGAGGCAGCAGUGGGGAAUAUUGGACAAUGGGCGCAAGCCUGAUCCAGCAAAUGCCGCGUGUGUGAAGAAGGCCUGC
rnacentral:rRNA from 1 species